UUAUAUGUAAAUAAAACACAGGUUGUAUGCCUUUGAAACAGUAACACACUGCAUACUUGAUGACUGCUGCCUUGUCCCUACUCCCUACUGCAGGGGAGAAAAUGGACCAGUCUCACCAAUGAAAAAGGUAAACUAAAAUAUUAACUACUGUGUGGAAAUACAGAUGGUGUGCAUAUAAAAUAACAUCUUCUUGAUUCCUUCUUUAGAAAUUUUUUCCUUCAUUUCUUGAAGUCACUUUUUAUGAUACAUUAUUAUAUGAUAUACUAUCUCACAGUUAUUAUGGUAAGUUAUUUUUAUUGUUAGUACAAAAGUAUACACAUAAUGUUGUGCUAAUUCCAGUAAUGUCCGGGUAAGGCUUCAUGCACAUGACUGCAUUGUAUAAUAUUUCCCUAUGUGAUCCAAAACUCUUUUGUUGUUAUAUUAUGAUCUCUAAGCAGAAUAUUGAUGAUCCUGAAAUUAUAUACCAUACCUAAGUUUUUUCUCAAACAUUUCAUUAGCUUUCCAUAGAAUGCUAUUGUAAGUGCAUUUGACUGUUCAGUUCCAGGGUAUGAAUUCCAGUAGAGUACUUUCUGGAUAAUAUUUCCUUACAAAAUGCUGUUAACUGCUUCCUCCAAGAAGUUAAUUUCUUGUUUUAAAAUUUAUAAAUUAUGUUUAAAUGGAAGAUAGAGAAGGCAGAUGCUGGAUUAUUUAGUACCAAGCUGGUUUUCUGUCCUGAUGUGGGUAAGGGCUGGUCACUUGUUAUGUUUCUCAUUCCUUUAGAUUUGUAGCUGUUUUAGACUUUAUAAAUAAUCAUUUUGAGUAUUCCAAGUCCAUAGGCAUUUUCUGACCCAAUUGUCCAUUUUACAGGAGUAUUUUUCUUAGAAGUUUGGAACCAUAAAAUAGAAAUUUUCCUAACUAGUCAAGAUUCCAGGGUAUAUGUGGGUAGGAUUUUGCUCAUUUCCUGCUGUGUGAUUUCAUUGUGCUGUUCUGACCUUGUUUUUGCAUAGGGUGCUGGCCGGUAUAAACUGGAAAUGUAUGUUAAGUCGUUGUCCAAGGCAGUGUUGCAGAUGUGGCCAGUAUUUGUUUUAAAGGAAUCAGUGAAGGGCAUUCUGCACUCGAGCUUUGUGAAAAAGAGUGCAGAUGCUCAUGGCUGUGGAUGCUGUGUGGUGUGAAGAACACUGCAGUUCAUUGAAUAUGGUGUGAGGAAUGCUGCUGUGCACUGACUGUGUGGUGUGAGGAACGCUGCUGUGCACUGACUGUGUGGUGUGAGGAAUGCUGCUGUGCACUGACUGUGUGGUGUGAGGAAUGCUGCUGUGCACUGACUGUGUGGUGUGAGGAAUGCUGCUGUGCACUGACUGUGUGGUGUGAGGAAUGCUGCUGUGCACUGACUGUGUGGUGUGAGGAAUGCUGCUGUGCACUGACUGUGUGCUGUGAGGAAUGCUGCUGUGCAUUGACGCUGCCUUUUUUCUUUUCUCCCUACACCUGCAUCCUUCUGGUGGCUCAGGUUGGACAACUAGGUGCCCAUGACCAACUCGUCAUUGUGGAUGGAUUUAGUCUGGUUGGACUUUCUCAGGAAAGGCAGCUGAACUCAUGACUAGUACCAGUUCCACGGUUACCCUGGAAGUUGCAAAUCAAGACAUCCUCUCUCACUGCCUGUCCACCUUUCUUACCCAGACAUUGUCCUCCAUGGUGCAGAGAGACAGUUCUACAGUGGUGUCUAUGGUUAAGUGCCAGGCAGUGAGAACCCAGGAGUGACAUUCAGAGGUACAAAGGAUGACCUGCAGGUGUGUGCAGCCGUGCCAGUCUUGUUCACCAUGGGAUGGAAGAGGUCCCUGACCUGUGAGCCUAGAGGUGACCAGGUGCUCCAUUCUGAGACUGAGAGAGGCAGGAUGCCCACUCAAGGGUCCAUAGCAGGGAAGGUUUUCAAGCUAUGUACAGUGCUGGAAAAGCCUACACAGGGCAUACAGUUAGCAGUGAUGUGUUUGCAGGGAGUCCAAGGAACCAGCUUUGUACUGAUGCAGGUGGGCAAGCAUUUAUCAUCCACCUGCCACUCUGACAGCAAUAAGAGUAUUGCUUAAGUUUUAUUUCAUAGAUUUGAUCCCUGACCAAAAUACCAAAAACUGCACCCUUAACGAUGUAGCAAAUAGAAUAGUGGAUACUAGGCCAAGAACCUUUGACUCUUCUAAUACCAUUGUGUAUUUCAGAGCAAGGAAGGAGAGGUAUCAAUGGACAGCAGUCUGCUUUCCCCACGAGUGCUCUACCACUGAGUUAGUAGCCUUAGCCCUCCUCACCUUUAGAAAAAGGGUGUGACUAAGUUGUCCAUGGUGACCUUGAACUCAUGCUGUAGACCAGGCUAGCCUUGAACUUCUGAUCCCCCUUCCUACUGUGUGUCUUGAUUGUCUGGUAUUACAGGCCCAUUUCUCUACAGCUGACCAGCUUGCUUGCUUCCUCCUUUCUUUUCUUCUCCUUUCUAUCUCUCUCUUUCUUUCGUUCUUCCUUCCUUUCUCUCUCUCUCUGUCUCUCUCUCUCUCUCUCUCUUUCUCUCUCUCUGCCUUUCUUGAUUUUUCGUUCUUUCUUUCGUUCGUUCUUUCAUACUUUCCUUCCUUUCUUUCAUUCUUUAACUUUCUUUUCUUCCUUCUUUCAUUCCUUUGUUCCUUUCUUUUAAGAUUCAAUUAUUUGAGUGGUCUAUCUGCAUGUACAUCUGUGUGUCCAAAGAGGGCAUCAGAUCUGAUUAUAGUUAGUUAGUAUCCAUAAUAUGGUGACUGGAAUCAAACUCAGGACCUUUGAAAGUGCAGCCAGGCUCUGAACCACUGAGCCUGCUCUCCAGCCCCAGCCCAUUUUCUUAAACUUAGCACACUUGGUUCACAUGAGAAUUGUCUGUCCAUGAGCAAGAUAAGGUUAAUCAUAGCAAAGAGUGCUUAUCCCUUGCCAGAUCAACCUGGGGUCUCCUGUGACUUAUGCUGUCCUUUUCCAGGCCUGUCACCAGUGCCUUGGCGUUUGUGGGACUCAUCCACAGAGGCAUGCAACUCAGAGAACUGCACCCCAACUUGGUGCACAGGAACUCUUUCAGGUGUCACUUGAUUGUCACAGGUUUCUGCUCGGUCAGCAAGGAAGGGAAGCCUAGCCCUGUGCCAGGUCAGUUCCCAGUACAGAAGUUCAUUCAUGGCAAACCCAAGUGAUCAUUGCAGUGAGCGUUGGCGGUCUAGAGCCCACAUCAAGGAGGCCUUCCAGACUUUGGAAGUGGAGAGGGAGGGAAGAAAACAAAAGUAUGGUACACUCACACUUUGGAAGGACACACAUCCAUCCUAAGUGAAACACAAGUUCUGUUUUCCAGUUGACAAGUAUAUAACAUGGCUCUUAAGGCUACACCCACAUUGUAAAAGCCGGUGAUGUCAAUCACAGCAGGUAAGAUGUCAGCCACCUGAGUCAUGCAGAGUUUGACCACAUGAGACUCACCCCAGGACUUAAAUGCAGUGAGUUCAAGGACUCACAUGCUAUGCUGCGUGGGCUCCUCCUUAUGCCACACCUUGACCCCAUUGCACCCUGGGCCUCCACACCAUAAGCCAGAGUGCAGAUCCCUGGGCACAGUAGGACACACCUAGGCUAGUUUCCACUCCCAUGGAUGUUCUUGUGGCCUUGUCAGAGCACUGUGACCACAUCCCACAUCUGAACAGCAAGCUAAUCAACAGGAUGCUCUAGGAGUCCAUCCGUUUGUCUUCUUCAGAGACCCCAUAAUAGAGGGGGCAGAAAUCCAGGCUUUAGGGAGCUACCACAGCCAUGAUUGUUCAUUUGUCCCAGCCACUCCACCUUUGGCCAAGUUACAUCUCUGCCAGGCCCUGCCAUGUUGUCUUCAACAUGUUUGUGUGUCAGUGAUACUUGUAUGAACUAUGCUACACGUUGGCCUAGAGGCUGGGCUUUCCUCUUGCAUUUCCAGCAAGACUACAGAGUUCCCGGGGGAGACUCUCAUGGCUCUUCAUGUUCUGGCAGCACAGUCUGCAGAUGUCUCUAAGGUAUUGGACAUCAGACCCCACUGAGGAGUGAGAGGCUUUCAGUGGCUUAUAGACCCAGGGCCUGGGCAUGAUGGCCUUUAUUGUGUGUUUGAUAGCAUGUAUGCUCUGCUCCAAGUGUAGACAGACACUCCCCAUGCCUGUAGUCUGUGCUUGGAGUGUGGGUACACACUCUCCAUGCAAACAGCUGUCUACGCACACACAGAUGCCAUUUUCAUGAUUUACACCUGUU
rnacentral:lncRNA from 1 species